rnacentral:misc_RNA from 1 species
GCGCACGCAAGCACUCAGACACAGACACUCAUGCGUCCGCCAAAGAAAACGAAAACAGAAGACGGUUUCGCGCACACGUGUGAUCCCUCUCUCCUUUGAUGGCGCGCUGCUGCUGCCCACCGCCUCUAAUCUUCCUUGUACCGAAGCAUCCCGCCAUACCUGCCGCUCCCCCCCCCUCCCCCACACACACACGACUGGGCGCCCUGCCUUCCCGACCCUCUGCGUGCAGGUGCAGGUUAGUAAAGUCGGAGUCCAUCCCUUCACUUCUCAUCCUCCAAGAAUAGCUGCAGAAGGAGCUAAUCAUCUGAAGGGGAGGUGGCCAUGCUUCGUCAAUCCGCCUUUUCGUCGUCGUCCGGAUCGUCGGCGGCCUCUUCGCGUGGAUCGUGCACAUACACUGAUAGCAAUACACCGCUGCGCUCCGAGGCAUCUACGCUGGAACCGCUCGCAGCCGGGCUCGCGACGGCGCAGCCCAGCGCGCUCGCCACACCAGUCGUCAAUGUGCUUUCUGCAUCAGCCGUGCCGGAGCCUCAUGCCGUUCCCCUCGUGGUGUCAUGGAACGCUCGAUCACGGGGUGAGGAAAAUGUUGCACCAGGGCCACCUGUCCGGGCAGACAACGCGCUUACGACGACCGCCACCACCGGCGCUGGCAGCGUGGGCGCAGACGGAGAAGGGGAAUCACUGUGCGUGCCGGUCGCCCACUCCACUGCCGCGGACCCAGCUCCCGGCGUAGCGAAUACUGACGCUGGCAGCUCAUGGUGUUUGCGAACGGCAGAUGAGGCCACGACGGAGCGAUCCGCGUCAUCCCUCGCGGACUGCUCUGGCGCACCAGAGUCAAGGCCCGCAGAGUGGCUGCCGACGCAGCAGCGCCCUCAGCGGCGACGACAGCACUCACAGCAGCUGCUGCCCACAGCACUGCCCCUUCUUCCGAUACCCGUUCCCACUACGCACACAUAUCCGCAGUCGCACCAGCCUGCCGGGCUCACCAGGCGCGCCGCUGGCUCCUCUGAACUGCCACUGUCAUUUCACACUGCUGCUUCACUGCCACAGCCUUCAUCAUCGCUCAUGGCCUCAUCAGUGGCCGGCUUAUCUGCUGAUGGAUGUCGGCCAAAGCCGCAUCGACGGCGCCCGUCGCAGGCGCCCGGCGACGACGUCACCGCAAGUUCUAUGACAACCGCGUCCUGUUGUGUGACGUCUGGAACGGCUUCGCAGUCUGAGGUGGUCCUUGCCACGUCGCCCUCGAUUGGCAGAGCUCGAGUGGCGUCGGCGUCGUCGGCAGGGGCAGCUGGAUCAGCGUCUGCCGGCUCUCCUCGCCGCUACACCGCGCUCGGCGGGGGUGGUGACCCACGCCUCGACGCGUGGGAGAUCGACGAGGAAGUGGCGCAGCUCGCCCGCUCGCUACGCUCCGAAAUUGCUGGUCAGCCCUUCGUGCUGGCCCCCCCGUUUGGGGCCUCGCCGACCGCCCCCGCUGGUGCAACCAGUUGCCCAUCCUCGUCCUCCUCCGACUUCUCAACGGGCAGCAGGGGUGGCGGAGGCGGCAGCGGCCAGCGCCGCACGAGGUGCAGUCUCAGUCAUGCCGCCCCCAUGGCUGCCGCCACCACUACCGGGUCCGGGGAGGACUUGGCGGCGACCACAGCUUGCACAACGACAGCGGCGAUCGGGCGAGGGCUUCUCGCUCUUUUGGACUCCUCCACGUCGUCCGCAACGACCUCGAUGGAUCUGCGCGGUGCUGCCCGGAGCCUCACCACACCCCAACACCGCCCGUCAAAGUCGCGGCAGUUAUCGCUGUCCACCUCGCAGCGGAGCCCGCCGUCGGCACAGGGCAGCCGUGCGAGGCAGCAGUGCUUCCCAUCAGAGCAACCGCACCCCGGUGUAGGCGGUGACGCCGUUGCUGGGAACGACGAUGAUGCUCACAGAGAUGGUGUUGACUCCGCCGCCGCCCUGUCGCACAGCUCAGAUCCUGGACAGCAGACUCCGGCGAUGUGCGGCGAUGCUCGUCCUCUUGGAAUGCCACCAACGUCAUCGACGCACCUCUCCACUGUGACUGACGCCGUACCUCUGCGUGGCGCGAGGGGUUCAUGGGCAGCAGCGGAGGUAGCGACACAGACGGCUUAUGCUGAGCACAAUCAGCGUCAUUCUCGCGUUGCAGGUGACGCAGCUGCGCCGGGCCUGUGUGAAAGUUUCGACAUAGGGCUCAGUGAUGUGGCUGAGCUGCGGCGCCGUCUCCUCACGGAGGACUUCUUCUCGAGCCCCUGUCGCAAACUGCGCCGUGAUGGCCGCUUCCCGUGGAAGCUGAUGACCAGCGUCUUACUCUGCAUCCUGCUGCUGGUGCACGUGACCUGGUAUCAGCUUCCACUGGCCUGCGCGAAUGAAGCGAUGCGGCUGGCGAUUACGAAGCACUUCAUGGGCGACGAUGCCUACUUCAGCAAGGACCAGGGCGACAUCGUUUCAGCGCCGACGGAGUGGAUGGAGAACCUCUAUGCGUCGAUCGAGCACUACGUGCAGGUGUACUACAACUUGACGAACACGUCCUCCAGUGAAAUGAAAUACCGCUACAACAACGCCAACCCAACGAGCCGGUGCGGGACAGGUAUCGAGCGCACUAGCAGCGUAGCCGAUGGAGGCGAAGGUAACAGCAUGGCAAUAGAGGGGCAAUGGUGGUGGCGGCGACGUGGUUCGGCAGACUGGAGGUCGUCGUUGCUGUGGGAUGCGCGGGCAGCGGCAUCGCCCAGUCCGUUCAGUGACUCCACCUCGGCUGCUGGGCCCUGCGCCCGAUCAGCCACACCAACCGCCGCUUCUGCGUUGAGAAACUCAGGGGAGCUGCUGCCGCCGUACAUCCCCGUCUCGGUCAUCGCGCCCGUCCUGAUGCGGGUGGAGGUGGAUGUGUACUCUCGCCGGGAGGGGGCCCAACACAAACGAGUGAAGCUGUCUCCGCUGGAGACCGCCGCGCCGGUUCGCCGGCUGAGCGGCGAGGAGGCAGUGGCUGAUGUUGAGAACCUCGAGCACCGGUGGCUGACGUUCUCUGUUGACGCUGACCACCCGCUUGGCCCAUUCGCCAAGCACAAAGAGGCGGCGCGACUACACCGUCUUGCGCGAAGGCAGGAACGGCACCGCGCCACCGAGCGCACAACGGACGACGCCGCCUGCCGACCCACUGAGCUCGAGGGCGCGUCCGCUACUGACGCGGCUGCGCUCCCCGACAGUGCCAGAGGCGGUUCUUUGACAGAGGUGGACGUUGCCCUCUCUGUCGUAUGCAUGCCCCGGUACGACGAUCUGUCGGGUCGCUAUUACCGUCCCUGUGCGUCCACGCAGACGACCACGAUCAUCGGUGGCGAGGCGGCCGCUGCGGCUGGGAUACCGACGCACAUUGUGCCAGAGUUUUCCCUCAUGGACAACGUGCGUCGCAUUCAGUUGGAGGUGACGCUGCGGCACGAGACGGACGAGGUGGACAACCUUGUCAGCACCGCUGCAGCAGCGGCCAGUAUGGGUGGCUCUGAUGCGAAAAAGGUGGCGGGCGGUGCCGACGCGUUCAGCGUCGGUAAUCUCGAAUUCCGAAGCGCCUCCUCUUUGACAGGGCGACUGAAGUCGGCCUUUGCUGCUCGCGCGUCGGCUGUCUUCCGGUGGCACGUCGUGAAGGACAUCACGGUGCACCCAGGCGGACUCGUAGAGACGCAGCUGCACGUGAACACGCGCGUGUGGCCGCUGGGGCUAUUAAGCAACUUCUGGACGCCGCAUCUCAUGACAGUGCUGCUGGGCGCGCUGGCCGUGCUCAAGAUUGUGUUAGAGCUGCGCGCGCUGCAGCGCAUCGCUCAGUAUAAGCGUCGACUGGGUCGAGAGCGCGCAGCGUUCCUCGCACGACAGCUGCAGCACGCGCCCAUCGAUGGCGGCGCGGAGCAUUGCGCAUCUAAGGCAUGGACGCUCCCGACCUCUACCGCCUUGCUGCAGCCUGCGAUUCUGAACACGAAGACGACCGUAUACGAGUGGGGGAUGCCUGUUAGCCUGCCGUUCGGCCGUCCAAGUCGUCCACCACAGAGCGGGCGAAUCGCGGGGUACGCGAAGGCGACUGACAGAGCGGCCGCACGUGCGCCGGCCAACAUUUACCCAUCAGGGGUGAAGCCGUCGAACUACGGGACCAUGGAGAGUCGCCAUGACGACGACGAUCACGCUGGUACACCAGGCAGCCACUCGGAGGCGGUGCUGCCGCCGUCGCUGAUGUUAGACACCUCGCUCAGCAUCAUCGCUUCACAGGCUCAAGGCAGCUACUCGCGCAGUCGUUGUGCUUCGCAAGAGGGGGCGGGAGACGCCUCUGUGCUCCCGAGCUGGCCUUGUGAGGAGGCAGCAUCGUUCUUUACUCUGCGCAACGGUGCCGAGAGUCACCAGCGCGGCUUCGACUCAAGCGUUGGCCCUCACACUUGGAUCCCUAGCGCCCUGCGGCGGUUCCUUUUGGGGCGUCUGGCUCAACUGCUUGGCACGCCUACGCCGUCGCAGCGUGGCUCCUUUCCGAAUACGCCAGUUCCACGCACACCGGGGCACUACCCAAGAUCCGACGACGGUAGUGACAUGAAAGCCGGCGGCGCGCCCGCAUCCUUGCCGCUGCGCUUCUCCAUCAACCCCAGUGGCACUCCCGUGUCGGCUGUAGCCUCCCACUCAUCGUUUCUGCCCCCUCUCCACGCACCCUUGACCCCGCAGCUGGCAGAGCGCAUCGCAGAGCGCAGCUACGUCGACGUGCGCACCGCGUGGCGACAUCACCUCCAACAGUCCAUGGGAGCCGGCUGGCACCGGGUCGCCAUCAUUGCAGCCGCCUUCACGCUGAGCUACAGUGCGCUGCUGCUGGCUCCGCUGCUGCCGUUCAUUGAGGUGGCGCAGACCGGCGCCUACUACGCGUGGACAAGUGUACUGCUCGGCGUCGCCGCGCUCAUGUCGUGCGUGCUGCUGCUGAGCUACCUCCGCUUCUUCCCCACGUUCUACUUUCCUGUCAUGGCCUCCAUUCACGUCUUGCCGAAGCUGUUCCUAUUCGGCGUGUGUGUGUCACCGCUCUUUCUGGGCUUCGCCUUUUUCUGUGUGAUCGCCUUUGGGGCGCACUCGAACGGGCACUUCGACACCCUCAGCAGUGCCAGCAUGGGCUUGUACUUCACCGCCUAUGGCGACUCGCUGCUUGCCACCCGGGACGUGGCAUCGGACACGCCGUAUGCCGUGACCGCCUUCUUCGCCAGCGUCCUCGUCGUAUCCUUCGUCCUCAUGUUCAUGAUGAUCAUGCUGAACAUGGCGAUGACCAUCACGCAGCACGAGUGGCUGCGGCUGAGGCGGCGCUUCGGCGCCGCGCUGAGCACGUCCAGUGUGCUGUUUGCCGUUCGGAGCAGAGAGGAGGCGCGGAGGGAGGCCAUCGAGGCAGUCCGCGCCAACUUAGAAGUACUAUGGCUCAUGCUGGGCGAAGAAGAAGAGCGGCAGAAAACGGCAGCCACAAAGGCAUCAGCUGCCGCGCCGUCUGCAUCCAGCGCGGACGCAGCGCGGCUGUCUCAGCCAGCCAUGCCGCCCGAUCCGUCGCGCACCCCAACUAUACGUGAAUCAGACGAGGACGGCGCGGCGGACGAGGAGGGCGCUGGCGGAGGGGAUGGCCGGAAACGGCAGCUGCGGCAUCGUCGGCGGUGCCGCAAGCAGCGACACGCGCAUCAGAUCCGCGAAGCGGACGAUGUUCACUCCGCGGGCAGCCCCUUUCAUGCAGGCCAUCGCGAUCGUACCGAAACGUUCGCCGCCGACUCCUCCUACGAGGUCUCCGCAGCCUCUACAGCACCACCGGAUUCGCGGUGACGCUCCUCUUUUCCCUCUCCCCUUCCCUCCCUCGUUCCUCUAUCCUCACCGCAAUGCGCGCAUGCUCGGUGACGGCGUCAUGCGGACGUCUUGGAUUUGCUCUCCUGCCGCCAACCUGCUUCGUCUUCUUUUCGGGUUGCCAUCAUCGCGGAUCUCCUCGCCACGUCGGGGGUGCUGGACCCUGACACGACGGUGAGGCAUCUCCCCC